GGUGGGGAAUAUUGCACAAUGGGGGAAACCCUGUAUGCAGCCAUGCCGCGUGUGUGAAGAAGGCCUUCGGGUUGUAAAGCACUUUCAGCGAGGAGGAAAGGUUGGUAGCGAAUAACUGCCAGCUGUGACGUUACUCGCAGAAGAAGCACCGGCUAACUCCGUGCCAGCAGCCGCGGUAAUACGGAGGGUGCAAGCGUUAAUCGGAAUUACUGGGCGUAAAGCGCACGCAGGCGGUUGGAUAAGUUAGAUGUGAAAGCCCCGGGCUCAACCUGGGAAUUGCAUUUAAAACUGUCCAGCUAGAGUCUUGUAGAGGGGGGUAGAAUUCCAGGUGUAGCGGUGAAAUGCGUAGAGAUCUGGAGGAAUACCGGUGGCGAAGGCGGCCCCCUGGACAAAGACUGACGCUCAGGUGCGAAAGCGUGGGGAGCAAA
rnacentral:rRNA from 1 species